ACUCCUACGGGAGGCAGCAGUGGGGAAUCUUAGACAAUGGGGGCAACCCUGAUCUAGCCAUGCCGCGUGAGUGAUGAAGGCCUUAGGGUUGUAAAGCUCUUUCAGCUGGGAAGAUAAUGACGGUACCAGCAGAAGAAGCCCUGGCUAACUUCGUGCCAGCAGCCGCGGUAAU
rnacentral:rRNA from 1 species